CGCGGGGUGGAGCAGCCAGGUAGCUCGCAAGGCUCAUAACCUUGAGGUCAGUAGUUCAAAUCUACUCCCCGCAACCA
rnacentral:tRNA from 1 species